rnacentral:misc_RNA from 1 species
GAUGAAGAACGUAGCGAAAUGCGAUAAGUAGUGUGAAUUGCAGAAUUCAGUGAAUCAUCGAAUCUUUGAACGCACAUUGCGCCCCUUGGUAUUCCGGGGGGCAUGCCUGUCCGAGCGUCAUUGCUGCCCUCAAGCACGGCUUGUGUGUUGGGCCCCGUCCUCCGAUCCCGGGGGACGGGCCCGAAAGGCAGCGGCGGCACCGCGUCCGGUCCUCGAGCGUAUGGGGCUUUGUCACCCGCUCUGUAGGCCCGGCCGGCGCUUGCCGAUCAACCCAAAUUUUUUAUCCAGGUUGACCUCGGAUCAGGUAGGGAUACCCGCUGAACUUAAGCAUAUCAAAGCGGAGGA